UACAGAGGCCUCGAGCGUUAGGCGGAAUCACUGGGCUUAAAGCGCGUGUAGGCGGAUCGUUAAGUACCUUGUGAAAUCCCACGGCUCAACCGUGGAACUGCUGGGUAUACUGGCGGUCUUGGGCCAUCUAGGGGUCGCCGGAACAAGCGGUGGAGCGGUGAAAUGCGUAGAUAUCUGGAGGAACACCGGUGGCGAAGGCGGCAUCCUGGACCGGCAUUGACGCUGAGGCGCGAAAGCCAGGGGAGCAAACGGG
rnacentral:rRNA from 1 species